rnacentral:rRNA from 1 species
GACGAACGCUGGCGGCGUGCUUAACACAUGCAAGUCGAACGAUGAACCGGAGCUUGCUCUGGGGAUUAGUGGCGAACGGGUGAGUAACACGUGGGCAACCUGCCCCAGACACCGGGAUAACCAUUGGAAACGAUGGCUAAUACCGGAUACGACCACUUCGGGCAUCCGAUGGUGGUGGAAAGGAUUCUGGUCUGGGAUGGGCCCGCGGCCUAUCAGCUUGUUGGUGGGGUAAUGGCCUACCAAGGCGACGACGGGUAGCCGGCCUGAGAGGGCGACCGGCCACACUGGGCCUGAGACACGGCCCAGACUCCUACGGGAGGCAGCAGUGGGGAAUAUUGCGCAAUGGGCGAAAGCCUGACGCAGCGACGCCGCGUGAGGGACGAAGGUCUUCGGAUUGUAAACCUCUUUCAGCAGGGAUGAAGCGAAAGUGACAGUACCUGCAGAAGAAGCACCGGCUAACUACGUGCCAGCCGCCGCCGUAACAC